AUGCGAGGUCUUAACCGCACAUGUGCCAUCGGUAUGAAAUACUCCGACCGGCAGUGCCGCGGAAGCCGAACAACUCUUUCUGCGAGAUCGGCGCCGCCGGAGUGCUCACUGCUCACCAUGCCCAGCGUGGACAUGGACUCCCUCCUGGCCAGCGCCGCCUUGUACACCGCGGAGCUGCGCACCCGCGUGGCAUCGCUCGAGGAAGAAAGCAGGCAGGCGGCCGUGGCAACGCGCGGGACGAGAUCGGCUUCCGGCCGCCUUAGCGGAGGCGCCUCCUUCCUUCACCACCUGACCGGCGACGACGUGGUGGAGGUGCGGAUGAUGGGCCGAGACGGGGCGGCGGUGCACAUGACGACGGCCGUUGGAUCAGCUCCGCACGCGCCGGCAUGGCUGAUGAGCGCGCUCCGGUCACUGGAGCUGCAGGUGCAGCACGCGUGCGUGAUUCGCGUGGAGGGCGUGACUGUGCAGGCCGUCGUUGUGGAGGUGCCGGAAGCGCUGCAGCACGAAGACGGGGCCGCCCUCCGCUUGGCUCUGCUCCAGCAGCUAGAAGACAGCGCCAGCCCAUCGUGA
rnacentral:rRNA from 1 species